rnacentral:lncRNA from 1 species
UUUAGGAUUUCAUUAGGAUUUGAUUUAAGUUUAGAAUUUUAUUAGGAUUUGAUUAGAAUUUGAUUAAAAUUUAGGAUUUCAGUAGGAUUUGGUUUAAGAUUUGAAUUUGAUUAGGAUUUUAUUAGGAUUUGGUUUGAGAUUAAGAUAGGAUUAGGAUUUGAUUAGAAUUUAGGAUUUCAUUAGAAUUGAUCUAGUAUUUAAGAUUUGAUUAGGAUUUAGGAUUUCAUUAGGGUUUUAUUAGGAUUUAAUCUAGUAUUUAAUUAAGAUUUAUUAAUAUUUUAAUUAGGAUUAAAUUAAGAUUUAUUUAAGAUUUAUUUAAGAUUUUUAUUUUUAAUAUUUCUUUAAGAAAUUUUUUAUUUCUUUAAAUUUUCUAUUUAUAAA